CCCUGGGGUUGGUGUGUGCUAGCCAGGAGAUCAGUAUGGUGGGUCUUGUGGGGUGUGAGAACUGGCAAGGGGAACCCCAUCUCAGAUGACAGCACACAGAAACUGGCUUGGAGACCUCCUUCAGGCACAUACCUGCUGCACAAAGAUCACCAGACAGUAGGAGUGGAGACAGGAAAAGACAUUUGCAUCUCAGGGUUGGAGACAGAAGAGGGGGUUGUUUGUUGAUAUUUCCUGCUCUAGCUCUCCUGUUCUUGAACCAAAUUGGAAGAACUCAAGGACUAUGAUGUUGGAUUCACCCAGGGAUCCAUGGAAUCAAAGGUGUUAAUGGGGUUGUCAUGAUGGGCAUCCAUGGACAAGUCAAGUUUCUUGAAUGAAUAGUUCAUUAUGUUCACUGUGCCCAUGCUGCUGGGGAUAGAGGAAGGCACUUUGACAAAGAGAAAACAAUAUACCGAAGGAGCAGAAAUGAGCAAGGAGGGUGAAUGCUGAAGGCAGCCUGGGUACCUAAGAGGGAAAUUUUCCCUAAAGGGAAAUGGCUCAGAUAGCGCUGAAACAUGAUGAGGAGUGCCUUGAGUUCUGGGCUGGAGGUUUGACAACAGUUGGUGAUCAAUCCAUAACCAUACUUUUGACCUGGGCAGCUGAUUCAUAGUUGACAAGGUUAAGAAGGAAGAACUGAUCUUUUGCAUUUUCCUCUGGCCAAUUUUAAGAUCUGAAUAAAUCUUUCGGUCUGCUUUUCGUUUGUUUUUGAGAUAGGGUUUUCGCUCUGUUGCCCAGGUGCCCAGGCUGGAGUGCAGUGGUGUGAUCACGGCUCACUGCAGCUUUGACCUCCCAGUCUCAAGCGAUCUUCCUGCCUCAGCCUCCCAAGUAGCUGGGACCACAGGCGUGUGCCACCACAAAUGCAUAAUUUUUUUUUUAAUUUAUAGAGAUGAGGUCUUGCUAUGUUGCCCAGGCUGGUCUUGAACUCCUGGCCUCAAGUGAUCCUCCCACCUUGGCCUCCCAAAGUUCUGGGAUUACAGGUGUGAGCCACCAUACUCAGCCUGUUUGUUUUUAAUCCCGAAUUAGGAAGGAAUGGUGCAGAAAUAUGGAGGAAAAAAAGCUGAACUAGCUGGGCACAGUGGUGUGUGCUUGUAGUCUUAGCUACUCAGGAGGCUGAGGCAGGAGGAUCACUUGGGCCCAGGAGCUCAAGGCUGUAGUGCAGUAUGAUUGUGCCUGUGAAUAGCCACUGUAUUCCAACAUAAACAAUGUAGUGAGACCUCAUCUCAAAAAAUAAAAAUAAAAAAGCUGAACUACUAUCAA